GCGGGAAUGGCGGAAUUGGCAGACGCGCUAGGUUGAGGGCCUAGUGGGGUGUAACCCCAUGCAGGUUCAAGUCCUGUUUCCCGCA
rnacentral:tRNA from 1 species